rnacentral:rRNA from 1 species
AUCACUUGAUGGUAUGCGGGUUUACUCGUGUCCUUUCUGGUGCACUUCCUUACUGGCAGGUUAGCAUCAAUUUCGGUUAUCAUAAAAAAAUUGAGGGAAGGUGACUUCUCUUCGGAGAAGUGUUAUAGACCUCGAUAAAUGUGUUGACCGGGAUUGAGGAUUGCAGCGGAUACCCUUUCGGGCUAGUCACCUGGCUUCUGAUGGUUACCCCGUCUUCGAUAGCUUGCUAACGUUGGUGGGAUUCAACUAUCUAGAUGUUAGAGUGAUCAUAAA